CCUAUAUUCAUGAGAAUAUACUAAUAUUUUGUAAAUAUAAUUUAUAUAAAUUUUUAUAAACUGGUAUUUUGUGUUGUGUGUUAUGUAUAUUAAAUUCUUGGUCAGUGAUCUUUUUAGGGUGUCAUUUGUUGAUAGUAAUCUGCUUUUUAUAAUUUUAACAAACUGCUUCCCUCCUGGAAAAGUUGAGUAAUAUAAAUAUAAUAAUUUCUCAUUGACUUUAUGAUUUCAUAGAUGCUUUAUCUUCAUUUCUGAUCAUUACUUGACAGUUCUUUAAAUUCUUAGCUUUCUCUGUUCAUAAGCCUUCCCAUCAUGUAUUAAAUAAUGAAACUUAAAGGUGAAUACUUUCAUAAUGUAAAUUGUUUUCUAAUUUAUUUUUCAUAUGGAUUU
rnacentral:lncRNA from 1 species